GUGAACAUACCUGUUGCCUCGGCGGGCCUACCCUAUAGUCCCUCGGNGCUACCCGGGAGUGACCGCCGAAGGUCCAAUAAACUCUUUUAUCUCUGUAUCUCUGAGCAAAAAAACAAAUAAGUUAAAACUUUCAACAACGGAUCUCUUGGUUCUGGCAUCGAUGAAGAACGCAGCGAAAUGCGAUAAGUAAUGUGAAUUGCAGAAUUCAGUGAAUCAUCGAAUCUUUGAACGCACAUUGCGCCCAUUAGUAUUCUAGUGGGCAUGCCUGUUCGAGCGUCAUUUAGUCCACUUAAGCCUUUGCUUAGUAUUGGGAAUCUACUUUUCGUGGGAGCUACCCUGUAGCUACCCUGUAGUCCCUCAAAGACAGCGGCGGAGUCGUGGUUUUACUCUGAGCUUAGUAAUUUUUUUCUAGCUUUCGAGUUGCCACUGCCCCCUUGCCGUAAAACACCCUUUAUUUUUUAAUGGUUGACCUCGGAUCAGGUAGGAAUACCCGCUGAACUUAAGCAUAUCAAUAAGCGGAGGAAAAGAAACCAACAGGGAUUGCCCCAGUAACGGCGAGUGAAGCGGCAACAGCUCAAAUUUGAAAUCUGGCCUUCUGGUCCGAGUUGUAAUUUGUAGAAGAUGCUUUUGGUGCGGUGCCUUCCGAGUUCCCUGGAACGGGACGCCUUAGAGGGUGAGAGCCCCGUACGGUUGGACGCCUAGCCUCUGUAAAGCUCUUUCAACGAGUCGAGUAGUUUGGGAAUGCUGCUCAAAAUGGGAGGUAAAUUUCUUCUAAAGCU
rnacentral:rRNA from 1 species